CAGUUUGCCAGAUAAAGAGUUCACUUCUCAUGUGGAGGAGUGGGGAAUCAAACCUGGUUCUCUAGGUUAAAAGCCACCUGCGUUUAACCACUACACCUUGCUGGCUGUCAAAAGGACAGUAGGUGAAUGUCUUGUUUUCAGUGAAGAGGUUUUUAAAGAGGCUGAAUAGCCAUCUGUCAAGAGUGCUUUGAUUGUGUAUUCCUGCAUGGUAAGGGGUUGGACUUGAUGGAUCUUUUAGUCUCUCCCAGUUCUGAUUCUGUGAGGAACCUAUGGUGAUCUGUGUAAAUAGGGAUGUGUAGGUAUGCCUUGAUGAGAUUGAUGGAAGUCAUAAAGUUUCCAGGAAUGAAAGCUUUACUGAGUGUAGAGUCUUCAUGAAAACUGUUUGUGGGUCACAAAACCAUUGACAUAUUUCAGAUCCAGAAUGGCUCACAGUCCCUUUUUCGCUUGGGUACUAUGAAGAAAAUGUAAUAGACACUUGUUGAGAGAUCAGGGAAAAAUAAGGAACUGGUUUGGGAGGAGACUGGUGAACUCUAGCAUAAUUAAAUUAUUUGUUUCACUCAAUGGCCCUGUUGUGACUGUUCCCAUUGAACUUGGAAAUGUAGUCUUCCUGGCCUGGCAUUACUUGUUUUCCUUGCUUGAGAGACUGAUUGAUCAUGUUGGAUUGGUAGGAUUGGAAUUGUGAGGCCCUGUUGAACCACAAACUUCUACAAAUGGAGCUUUUGCUCUUUUCCCACUGGGUCUUCCUACAGUCAAGACUGGACCAUCGCAGUGUGAGACAGAAAUAAAAGGAGGUUGGGGAGAAAUGACUCCUAUCAUCUUUUUGUAAACUUUUUGGCAUGGCCUUCUUGUCUCUAGUCUUCACCAAUAUUUUGUCUAGUGUAUUUCCAAAAAGUCUGCCAUCCUAAAAAGGCCAUCACUAUUGGAAUGAAGGGUAUGUUUGCCUGCCUGAAGUCACAGGGUGUGUCUGGUGGUAGCUGCUGGUACCACAGAAUGAGCUGUGAAGGUCAUGGUGUCUAGAAACACAUCAAAGAAGGAAACAGCCGUAGAGAUGCGAUUUGUUCCUUCAGUAGCUUUUCUAUUAUUGCUAGAUGUGAGCUCACCUAAUUUUCCGGCCCAGACAACAGAAGCCUUCAAGAUACGGGCAGCAGUAACCGGUGCCUUAUAGCUAGAGCAAACACUUCUUAGGAUUUGCCUUUUCUGUCUAAUGCAUCCUUUAUGGACCUUAUGUCUCCUAAAAGGAAGUCUGUAAAUUGCAAGGUUGCAAUGGGGACAUCCACUAGUGGUACCUGCAACAUUUCUAUAGUGUGUGGGGCUAGGGAAUAUAGAUUUUAAUAGUAUUGGAAAACAGUUCUUCAUGGGUUCCCCCCGCCCCUUUCUGCCUUUGCCAAUGGGCCUUUCAAAGUAUCUGGGGAAGGCAUUUUGGCCUAAAUCUGGCCCCUUUCAGCAACUUGUCAGAGAGGUUCACUGCCAUAACAGCCUUAAAGAGACUGAUAAUCUUCCCUUUAAAUAACCUAGUGGGCAGCCUUCUGUGGCUGAUCCAUCCUCUGAGAAUUUGCCUUCUGUCAUUAUCUGAUAGGGAAGAUCGAGUAUCUGAUAAGGAAGCCUUUUUGGUUGCCUUGGUGGGCUACUGUUGGAAUUUCUCCCCCAUGGUGUUUGGCUCAACUUUCUCAGACCUAAACAAGCCAACAAGAGUGGGAGGGGGGAGUGCUGUGGUUCUCUGCAUAAAGCUGGGGUGGGGAUAGGAGUCACAGGAUUGCUUCCCCAAUUUACCUGGAGCAGGAUGGCUGAACUCCCACAACCUCAAAUGAGAGGGUGUAUUAAUACAUUUACCCCUUAGACCUUCAGUUCCUUCUGCUGAUUAAGGCGCUCAGGGUAAGAUCAGCCACUAUAGCUGCAGGCUGAACUGGCAGCCAUUAGGGCUAGUUCCUACUGAGCCCUUUGGGGGAGGGCGGUAUAAAAGUGGAACAAAUAAAUAAAUAAAUAAAUAAAAAUACUGUAAGACCCUUUUGCAAGCUUCAUCUGUGGCACAUUAAGCCACUUUAUUUUGCACCUGGGACUUUUUAGUUCUUUGUCCAGGUCUCUCUGGGUCGUCUGGUCAUCUUGCAACAGAGACAAUAGCAGCUGUGGGUCUACAUCCUCUUCAGAGAGGAAUUUCUCCAUGCUCACCUAUCCUGCCUGAGAGACAGGAAGUGGAAAGUUUUUAGUCUUGCCUCCCUGAGCAGCAAGUGGGAAGCUCCCAAGUUACCCUCCCUCCUCAGAGCAAGAAUGACAUGUUUACAUACUCUUUAGUGUAAAGACUCUGCAAAACGUUUAAGUCAGAAUUCACGGCAGUUGCCAAAACAAGCUUUCUUGUAGCACUAAAGCAGUAUUAACUUUUCUUGGUCCUUUCUUGGGAGGAGCCCUGCUUUAUCCUUGCCUAAGCCGAUUUCUCUGUAGCUCAGCUGUGUUGACAAUAGCCACAUCAACAGAAGUUGUUACACUGUGUUGGCCAAAGUACAUACUUUCCCUAUGGAAACACAAUCAGUGCUGCAUUUUGUAGGAUCUGGGAAGGCAAAUAGCCAUGUAGAAAAUAGGGCUUGCUGGAGGGAAAAAGAAUAGAAUCAGCAGAAGAAUAGAAUGCAGCCAAUUAUGUGAAAUUGCUGAGGUCCAGUUGUUGUUUUAUAAUUAUGAAAUCCUCAUAGAUAUUCCACACUGUGUCUAAGCAAUCAGAAUUAUGACCAAGGCUGACAGUUAGUAGAAGCUGUAAAAAUAAUGACAACAAAUUAUGGGGGGAAAGGGGUUAGGGAUUUUUAUUGAAUUUUGUUUCCAAUUCAUAUUCAAGUAAUGCAUUUAAAUACAGAAUUUAGAACACAUUAAAAUUAUAUUGGGCUACA